GAUGAAGAACUUAGCGAAAUGCGAUAAGUAAUGUGAAUUGCAGAAUUCAGUGAAUCAUCGAAUCUUUGAACGCACCUUGCGCUCUUUGGUAUUCCGAAGAGCAUGCCUGUUUGAGUGUCAUGAAAAUAUCAACCUUGACUUGGGUUUUGUGCUCUAGUCUCGGCUUGGAAUUGGGUGCUUGCCGCUUUUACGAGCGGCUCACCUUAAAUGUAUUAGCUGGAUCUGUCUUUGAGACUUGGUUUGACUUGGCGUAAUAAGUAUUUCGCUAAGGACAUUCUUCGGAGUGGCCUCGUUUCUAGGACGCUUGUCCGCUUUCCAAUACAAGUUCCACCUCGUGGACAUGACUUUUUAUUAUCUGGCCUCAAAUCAGGUAGGACUACCCGCUGAACUUAAGCAUAUCAAUAAGCGGAGGA
rnacentral:misc_RNA from 1 species